GUCUUGGCAACCAUGUGUAGACUCGGUGCAAACCUUGAGAUGUGCGCGAAACUGUGCUCUCCGUCUCCUUUCUCUCUCUCUUCGUCCGCAUCCCCUUUCUCCCAGUAUAGGGUAGCAAACCGGACGUGCAUCUGGUUAACCUCCCUACUUUUCCUCUCUUCUAUUUUUCUCUCUCUCUCACGGACAAACACACACAGGCGCAUACAAACCAUUGUCCGGGCAGUAGUGUAUGCCAAGUGCGUACAGACAUUGAAUUUAAGAAAGCGCAAUAACACACAAUGUACUGAUACACUUCCUGUUGUAUAUAGUGAUGCGCGACUUGUGCUGCGCAGUACCAGCUGUUUGAAGGAAAGCUGCAGCAGAAACCCCUAAUCUCUUCCCGUAUCGUUUAGAGCGCAGUUCUUUGGCGCCCGUUCCUGCAGUGAGCGUCUGCGUUCCCUGCGUAACCGAGGGAACGAUCACAGCGAAAGGUGAGAGUGAAGGCGGCGCGCAGCGGGGAAUGGAGAAAGCAGCGAGAGAGCAAAGGCCCAAGGAGGAAAGCGGUGACGGGCCGCAGCUUUCCGUCUACUAAUUGCCAAAGAAGCCGCCACUGUCAACAAACGCGGCCUACACCACGGAAGACCAAUAAAGUUACCAGCUCCACAAAGAUAAUAAAGCUCGCUCAUUUCUACUGCGACGACCACAUGAUAUUGACCACUUUGAAGUUUCUUCGGCUUUCUGGAUGGCCCGUUGCCACCCGCCUUGCCAGCCGCCUUGCCAGCCGCCUUGGCAUCCGCCUUGCCAGACGCCUUGUCACCAC